ACAUGCUUACAACAUAGAAUUGAUGCUCUGGAUACCAUUAGAACUCCACAGUUAAGUGCGCUCGAGCUAGAAAAGUACUGGGAUGGGUAACCGCCCGGGAAGUCCUAGUGUUUUACAUGCA
rfam:Picea glauca, whole genome shotgun sequence.